GAUGAACGCUGGCGGCGUGCUUAACACAUGCAAGUCGAACGAGAAGUGGAGACGGAAACCUUCGGGCGGAAGACUUUAUUUCGAGUGGCGGACGGGUGAGUAACGCGUGGGUAACCUGCCUCAUACAGGGGGAUAACAGUUGGAAACGACUGUUAAUACCGCAUAAGACCACAGCACCGCAUGGUGCGGGGGUAAAAACUCCGGUGGUAUGAGAUGGACCCGCGUUCGAUUAGCCAGUUGGCGGGGUAACGGCCCACCAAAGCGACGAUCGAUAGCCGAUCUGAGAGGAUGCCCGGCCACAUUGGGACUGAGACACGGCCCAAACUCCUACGGGAGGCAGCAGUGGGGAAUAUUGCACAAUGGGGGAAACCCUGAUGCAGCGACGCCGCGUGAGUGAAGAAGUAUUUCGGUAUGUAAAGCUCUAUCAGCAGGGAAGAAAAUGACGGUACCUGAGUAAGAAGCCCCGGCUAACUACGUG
rnacentral:rRNA from 1 species